GCGGCGCCGGGGCGGCCCCGGUUCCCUUGCGGGCCGUGCCGCGGCCGUGGCGCUGCGGUGGUCGCGGCUGUGAGGCGAGCGCCGGGCUGCGGCCCCUCGCCACCUCCCGGAGCUCUACCUGUCAUUAUCGCAAUUAUGUUUUCAAAGCCGGGGCUGCGCCUAACCCAGCUAUGUGCCCUCCACGCCCAUAUCGGGCCGCAUGUCUGGCGUGCUCAGAAUAACUCCGAGGAGCUCGGUGGCCAUUUGGGCUUUUCUGGUGAUUAAGGACGGUUACGUGAGUCAUGCGGCACUAAAAAUUGUUUUUAAAGGACGACUCCUCAUGUUUCCCUGGCGGCGUGCGGUUACGUGUAAUGUGAACUCACUGCAGCGUCCGAUGGUUGUGAUUUCUGGGAAAAUAGGUGAAAGUGGAGAGGAUUCACCCAGCAUACAGGGCAAACAGAUGCCAGAGCGCUAAAGAUAAGGCUGCAGAGUGCGGUCAUCACAGGAAAGACACUGCUGCCCUCGUUGCACACAGGGCAAAGGCAUGGCUGUGCGGGUUGGCACAGCUUCAGGGCACGGAGACCCCAAAGGACUGAUCCUUCCCUGCUCCCCUUCUGCCCUGCGCAGGAAGGUUUGGUGCUGCAGGAGCUCCUGGCAGGCAGCUCUGAACGUGCCCAAACCCACCGAGCGCCUGCGUGAAUGAGGCCGCUGCUCUGUGCGCCCAGAGAGAUGUAAACAGCAAAACAGAAGGCAGGCAUAAAGCAGAGGGAGGUGUGAAAGCCGAACCCCAAGCUGGUGAAAGGAAAAGCUGUGCGGUGUACAGCACGGACCCAGCCCGCCGGGAACACUGCUGAAGCACUGUCAUUAACAGCAUUAAGGCACAGCGAGCAUUCGGUUGCUGCGCACCUUCACAGAGACCAUAUCCCUCCCCUUUGAAGUGCUGAAGGUUUAAGCAAUGUGUGAAACGCCUCAGCCUAAACCUGAAAUGCUAUCCAAACUUCAUUAAAAAUAAUCUGCCCGUUUGUAAUUCUCUAUGAGGAGAAAGGAAACGCAGGGACCACAAAGACCAACCUAAACCCAGCCUUGCUGAACUAGGGAACUGCUGCACAGCCUGUUUUGCCAACAUGCUGCCAAUAAGGGAGUGCUGCUGCCGUGGCCAUCAGGGUUGCUGCCUCACCUCCUCUUGUAUCUAAAGCAGGAAAGGGAAGCACAUAUUUUCAGAGUUUCCCCAACAGUCAUUCUUUCCCUUAACUCAUUCUUUCUUCCUUCUUCUUGUCUAGGUCACUUCUAGGCUGUCCAGCCCAGCCUAAUUGCUUCUUUAAGGCACCAGAUUUCAGUCCUACCUAUAGUGCCAGGGUGCCCUGAGACAGCUCUCACCAUCACAGGGUGUUCUGUCCUACACUGGCUGGGUGCACACCGCUUCUCCAUCUGUAAUCCCCUUCCUCACUUCCAGUUGAGCACAAGCCCCAUCACAAUGCAUUUCCUAAAGCAGGAUGGGACAUGCUCUGUAGCACUUUAUCAAUCAGCCGUGCCUCACGGAUUGAGAAACUCAGCAUGAGAGCAAGGCUGUCAAAUACACUCAGCAGAGCAUGACUCCGUGUUUCAGUGAGGGCAGUUCAUAAUCCCUCCAUCCCUGGUUGUCCACUCAGGCUGGCCCAGACGGCCAAGGAAGACAACAUCGUUUACGUAAUACUAAUUAACCUUUGCUGAACUCUUUCACUCCGACGUGAUGACAGUUCCCCCAGAUGAAAGAGUGCUAUUGGUUUUCAUUCAGAAGAUCACUCAACUCAAGAGAAAAAAAAAUAACACCAACCCCCCAUUUUAAAUGAAAUACAAGAGGGUUGGUUUUUCCCACUACUCACUAUCAGCGCUGAUAGAUCUCCAUACAUACGCUGCUGUCUCACUCAGUACUAUUAUGGUACCCCCAGGGCCAAUAUCCUGCCAAGUGGCAUUUGUUUAAAAUUCUCAAAUGCACAAAUUUGGCACAAAAACUGGAGCAAAGGGCAUUCCCCUGGUUACAGCAGCUGCGUGGAAUCUUCCCACCUCAAAGUCCAAGAUCCAUUUACAUCAGUUCGUUUAAGCUGCAAAACGAAAUGAACUCUUCCUGCUAGGCUUGCUCAGACAGACUAAUAAGCGUGAUGGGGAGCACAAAGCAGAAAUGCUGUACGAUGUAAUCGACUGUUGAAGGCGCAAGCAGUUUUUCAGCUUGUAUUAAGACUGAUUCACUUGUAGCUGACGUCAGUACUCCCUCCCUACUAUCUUCGCCUUGGGAUUGGAGUAUGAUAAAUAUUACCUGUAAUGCCAUCUGCUGUACAGAGGCAGCAUAGGGCUCCGAGGCUUCUCACGAUUUACUUAAGAAUUAACGUUGUGCUAGAGCAGAAUGCACUGUACUUCAGGCUUAUUUAACUUUGUUUCGACUUUAAUUAAAAAUGCCUGUCCACUUGUAUUUUUAAAGUCAUCCGUCGCAGAGCAAAAACCGUGUUUGCCUUGCAAAGAAGUGAGGACAGCAUAGUUAAUAUCAAACAGGGAACUGCUGCAAAAAUGACAACGUUACCAGAAGUGCCCACGUGGAAGAUGCAGAGUCAGGAGAUGGCUUUCAGGGUGAGAAACCAGGACCUCCAAAUAGGACCUCUCUGUGAUACCCUGGGAGAGCUCAUUUAUUUCAUGCAUCCAUUUCUCCACUGGUUCUUUUAGAACCUCACCCAAGUUAUCCAGCUUCUCAGUAUAAUACCAACUACUGCAGAGUAAUGGUGAUUGUCACUUCUGUCAGUGUUUUGAGUGGAUCAAGCUGAAAAUAUCUGUUUAGAAUAUGCAUAUUUAAGUGCAUACAUACUUAAACUAAGGCACGUGCAAAACUGUUUCCUCAUAGGAUUUGCUUCUAAUUUUAACGUUAAAGUACCAGGAACAAUUCCACUUCCUAUAGGAGCUCUUUCACAACAGUAGGUCUGAUGAGUACUUUUUGAUACUGAAAACUUCCUCACACUGAAAUCUGUUCCAAGUCUGUUAAAAGCUUUGUGUAUGGUGUGUUCAAAGACAGCAGUCCAGGCUCAGCCAACAAACACCUUGAGCACCUCAUCCACUGUAAUUUAUGAAGACCGUGUUUAUUAAACUAAUCCCACUCUGAGUUAUCUUAAAUGUCCAUAAACAAAAUUAAACUGUUGAAUCCAAAGGAUGUGUGUCCAUAAGCAGAAUUUCUGACAUUUUCCCAUUGAAGAGAAACAUAUUGACUUUGCCAGUUUGUUCACCAAGAUUUGAAUAUUUUUAAGUACAUUCAGGGUGAGUAUUGAUUGGUACAUGACUCUAAAAACUCUAAUGUCUUUUGUUCAGAGAACAGCAAUAGUUUUGUAUGUAUAGCAGUAAUUAUACUAUUUAAAACAAUUUUAAAAGGAAAAGGCUACAGUGUAAGUUAGUUAUAUGAGUGAACAUGAAUUUUCCUGAAUUAGUAAAAUAUGCUUAAAUGAGAGAAACUGAAAUUUAGGUAAUGUUUUUUUGCUUUGUUUUAGCAUUUCAUAAAAGACGUGUUAAUUCUGUUUGUGUUUAUAAUCAGUCACUUGAUGGGACUUAAUCCUGCAAUGUUUGGAUUGCAAAUGGCACGCUAUAAUGUUUAAACACAUCAAAAUCAUGUUGCUUAAAGUAAAAUAGUAACACAGUAAAUCCCUUAACAUGUUUUUUAAUGGAGAGCAAUCUACUGCAUUUUAAACUGCUUGAAUUUUCAUUUCAUAGGAAUUCCCACAUGGGGAUCAUAGUGCCCUUUUAAAUUAUUAAUUAAUUCAUGUUGAUGGAUAAAUUAAAAUCUCUCUGAUGGAGGACAUGCAUUAUUUAUUAAUGUCCUGAUCUUGUCCUACACACUGUGGGGUGCUGUUCUUUGGAACCUGCUUCAGAAGUCUAACACAAUGAUGGGUUUUGGGGGGUUUUUAAUUUUGGUGGUAGGAUUUUUCAAAUAGUCUCUCUUAUGCUUGCCUUUUGCUUUGACUUUUUCUACGUCACAGAUUUUCUUUUGCCUCCUAGUUUCUUUCUGCAAUGACUUUACUUAUUGCAUUCUGAUUGUGCGUGUAAUUAUGGAAGGAAUUCAUGAUUUAAUUGAACUAUCACAUCCCAAUGUUAAGGAAUUCAGGAUUAAUUACUUAAGCAUUAAUAAAAUGGAAACGCAAGUG
ensembl:lncRNA